UCUACUCACUGAUUCUUCUUCUGGCCUUACCAUUCUGAGCUCUGUGGGGCUCUUCUGAGAGGACUCACAUUUCCCUCUUCUUUCACUGCGUCUUCCUCCAGCUCUUACUGAGAACAUUCUGGAAUUCCAGAGGGGAUCCUCCAGGGAGACUCAGCAGGCGCCUUUGAGAAUGUGGGUGUUUCCUUCUUCCACAGUUCCGCACAAUUGACUGUUGGAUAUGGGGACUAAGGUGUGGAGGCUCUAACGAAUCGAGGGAUGUUUCCUUUGGACUGUAAGGGGAGAACAGAAACCUGGAAAUUCCACUCAGCGAUGCAUUUUAUGAAGCUCGCCUGAUGCCUGAUGCUGAUUCCAAAAUAAACAAAAUCAGUGGAAGAAGCAGACUCAGAGGCCGACUCACUCGUGAACGUCAAUGCAAAAUUCUCCCUCCACGUAUUCCUGAGCCAGAUUCAAUCCUGUGCACUAAGUGGUUACGGCUGAGUUCGGUUUAUCUCAGGAAUUCAAGAUUGAUCUAACAUUUGAAAAAAUGAAUAAUGUAAUUUAUCAUAUUAACGGAUUGAAAGAGAAAGAAUGAUUAUCUCUUUGACGCGGCAAUAAGAAAACCAUAAUCAUUCAUAAAUGUAACAAUAAGAAACAACAGUAAAGCUACAAAUAGAAAAUACAGUUCUUGAUAAAGGCGCGUUAAAAAAGUCACGCCGUGGAUCCGAGAGUGAACUGUGAAAAGCAUUUCCUUUUAAGGAACAUUUAAGAUUGAGAGCAAAACACGAUUAAUGGCUAACACAACUUCCAUUCAGCGUUGGAGGAGAUAGUGGCUGUUGCAGCAAAUAAACAAAAAAGGUUAAAGCCAUUAAAAGAAUAAAUACUGGGAAAAGCUGUAACUAUUGGUAGAUGUACUCUUACUUGUGUUGAAGCAUCAUAACCACAAAUAAAUUAUUAAAAUUA